rnacentral:rRNA from 1 species
GGACUACUCGGGUAUCUAAUCCUGUUUGCUCCCCUAGCUUUCGUGCAUCAGCGUCAGUUAUGGUCCAGUGAGCCGCUUUCGCCACAGGUGUUCCUCCUGAUAUCUACGCAUUUCACCGCUACACCAGGAAUUCCACUCACCUCUCCCAUACUCAAGCCCGGCAGUUUCUCAUGCAGACUACAAGUUGAGCCUGUAGAUUUCACAUAAGACUUACCAAACCGCCUACGCACCCUUUACGCCCAAUAAUUCCGAACAACGCUCGCCCCCCUCGUAUUACCGCGGCUGCUGGCAC